UUAUUUAUUAGAUGACGCUGUUGUUGCAGAAAGAGUAAUUUUAUUGGGAAUGUUAAUUUGCUAAAGAAGUACGAUGGCGGAUGAUGGUAGACAUGGAAGUAAUGCCGUCGAAGUUACUCACCAUUUCAAUGCUAAAAAUGCCAAACUUAUAGCAUUGAUUACUGUUGUGGGAUUUCUGGUUUACCACGGUCUAAUACAUGUAACAUAUGGAAUUGAUUCAUGCAAGUGGUUACUAAGUGAUGGACGGUUCCAAGGGUACCAGGUGUGGCAGCCUUAUGGUUGUAUGAUGCACUCCUACACCAAAAU